rnacentral:rRNA from 1 species
UACGGGGGGGGCAAGCGUUGUUCGGAAUUACUGGGCGUAAAGGGCUCGUAGGCGGCCAACUAAGUCAGACGUGAAAUCCCUCGGCUUAACCGGGGAACUGCGUCUGAUACUGGAUGGCUGGAGUUUGGGAGAGGGAUGCGGAAUUCCAGGUGUAGCGGUGAAAUGCGUAGAUAUCAUUUGGAACGCCAAUGGUGAAAACAGGUAGCUGGGGCUGUGCUGACACUGAGACACGAAAGCCAGGGGAGCGAACGGG